CUACCGCCGAUUUUUUCCGUGAACUUUAUUCGUGCAUCUCAGGAACAACCAAAUAUGCAAUCAGAAUAUCUUUGUAAGUUUUCCCAACGUGGAUGAUUCAACACCCUCUAAAAGGCGAAGCGAUAUCAUUAAUUCAUAUGGAAAUCCUAAUGCCGCAUUUACCGUUUAAUGGGCUGUGAAAGAAGAAGGGAGGGGAAAAUCAGACUCUUUUUGACGCAGGAAAAUCCCUGAGUCAACAAAGACGGAUAGCUAAAAGUGAUGGCAAGACAAGUCAGCUACACUGAAAGAUGGAUGAAAGAAAAUGUCACUAAACCCAGAAGAAGCAACCAAAGCAGAGAUUUCAAGGAGCACUUUUAAAGUCAGAAAAGGUCUUUGCAGCAUAAAGCCCUGGAUGUCAAACUCUGAAGAAGAAAUCAUUGCCGGCUGCGAGAUGAGCCUCCUCUACUGUCUCCCAGGUGGCCGAUCAACGUCUGAUAGGUUCAUGUGAUGAGAAGACAAACAGAUCACCUGAGUGGGGGUAAUUAGAAAUCCGGCAGGGAACUCGCAGCGUGGCGCUGACAAACUCCACUGAUCGGACAAGACAGUGCACGGGGUUACUUGGAGUGAAGAAGGGGCUGACGGCGGGGAGUAGCGGGAAGAUGAAAAGAUUCUGCCGAUUUCAAGUGACUGAUUGAGGUCAGAGGUGGGCCGGAUGCUGGGGACUUGUGACAGUGUGCUUCAGAGGUGGUGCAACACCUUCUUUGUGAAGGAAAUAGCUCUGCGCUUAUUCUGAAAUAGAGCAGGACCGCCUCCGGAGGGCUCUACGUUACGUCAGCGACAGAAGGAACGCUCUCUGUGUUUCGGAGAAGCAGACUUCAUUUGGUUAAAUUAUCAUAGUGGCUGUCUAAAAGAGGGCUGAGCUUUCUCCUUUAAAGCUCUUUACUGCGACAUCCUUAGCAAAACUUUUAAUCAGUUGUAGAUCUAUUUGUGUUUUUUGGUUUCUCAUCUCCAUUACCAUAAAGCCUAGUGUUUUAAAACAACCAGUUAAUUUUUGUUUUAAAGAUCAGUCAAAGAGAAAUUGACUGAUGACUGAAAUUCACUGGUACAGGCUGGACAAAACGUCAAAGAUCUUUCACCCACGUUUCCUUUGUUAGUGCUUCCUGGUCGCACUGACAAAUAAACAACCUGCGGUGUGGAAGUUGUCGCUAAGAGAAGAAGGCUCAUGUGUCAGUGUCUCAGCCUUUGAUCAUAAAUGCGUCCUGUAAGCAAAUUAGCUGCAGUUUUCUGGCUGUAGCACAAAGAGAAACCUCAACAGGUGACAGCAAGUUCACAAAGGGGCAAACUAAUUAAUAUGUUUGCUCUGUUGUCUAUGAAGACCAAGCUUUAUAAGAAUAAUUUAUGAGCAGUGUGCUGAAAGCUACCUAAUGUCAAUGAAAGAGGAUGAUGCGAACGCAGUUAGGGAGACUCUGAAGAGCUGAGCAUGUCCUGAUUGAAGAGGCUCAGAGGUAAUCUCUUCCUCCAUACGGGAGAUGUGUGUAAUGUAAAGCAUGACACUGUCAGGGUGUUCAUAAUCAUCUUAAGGUUUUCGUUUUUCUUCUUUUAUCAAUCCCUGAGGUUUAACAGUAGAGUGGCUGGAACACUUCUGAACUGAUUUACAUUCAAACUAAUUCUCUGAAGAACUUUUGCUCACCUUUUUAUAUUUUUUUUUUAUACGUCAUAAUUGCACUUUUAAGUCUCAAACUGAGCAGAGGAGCAGAGUUGUUUCCACUGUAUCCGUCUUGCUCAGCCCCUGCUCCUCAGUCUCACUCUUUAAAUUUGAUGAAUUUCCCUUCCAUCCUGCUGAGUGCUGCUUCGUACUGCAGCCCCAGGC